rnacentral:rRNA from 1 species
AGGGACCUACGGGGCGCAGCAGUGGGGAAUAUUGCACAAUGGGGGAAACCCUGAUGCAGCAACGCCGCGUGAGUGAAGAAGUAUUUCGGUAUGUAAAGCUCUAUCAGCAGGGAAGAAAAUGACGGUACCUGAGUAAGAAGCCCCGGCUAACUACGUGCCAGCAGCCGCGGUAAUACGUAGGGGGCAAGCGUUAUCCGGAUUUACUGGGUGUAAAGGGAGCGUAGACGGUAUGGCAAGUCUGAUGUGAAAACCCGGGGCUCAACCCCGGGACUGCAUUGGAAACUGUCGGACUAGAGUGUCGGAGA